GACGAACGCUGGCGGCGUGCCUAAUACAUGCAAGUUGAGCGCUGAAGGUUGGUACUUGUACCGACUGGAUGAGCAGCGAACGGGUGAGUAACGCGUGGGGAAUCUGCCUUGGAGCGGGGGACAACAUUUGGAAACGAAUGCUAGUACCGCAUAAAAACUUUAAACACAAGUUUUAAGUUUGAAAGAUGCGAUCGCAUCACUCAUAGAUGAUCCCGCGUUGUAUUAGCUAGUUGGUGAGGUAAAGGCGCACCAAGGCGAUGAUACAUAGCCGACCUGGGAGGGUGAUCGGCCACAUUGGGACUGAGACACGGCCCAAACUCCUACGGGAGGCAGCAGUAGGGAAUCUUCGGCAAUGGACGAAAGUCUGACCGAGCAACGCCGCGUGAGUGAAGAAGGUUUUCGGAUCGUAAAACUCUGUUGGUAGAGAAGAACGUUGGUGAGAGUGGAAAGCUCAUCAAGUGACGGUAACUACCCAGAAAGGGACGGCUAACUACGUGCCAGCCGCCGCAGUAA
rnacentral:rRNA from 1 species